AUUGAACGCUGGCGGCAGGCUUAACACAUGCAAGUCGAGCGGGGGAAGGUAGCUUGCUACCGGACCUAGCGGCGGACGGGUGAGUAAUGCUUAGGAAUCUGCCUAUUAGUGGGGGACAACAUCUCGAAAGGGAUGCUAAUACCGCAUACGUCCUACGGGAGAAAGCAGGGGAUCUUCGGACCUUGCGCUAAUAGAUGAGCCUAAGUCGGAUUAGCUAGUUGGUGGGGUAAAGGCCUACCAAGGCGACGAUCUGUAGCGGGUCUGAGAGGAUGAUCCGACACACUGGGACUGAGACACGGACCAGACGCCUACGGGAGGCAGCAGUGGGGAAUAUUGGACAAUGGGGGGAACCCUGAUCCAGCCAUGCCGCGUGUGUGAAGAAGGCCUUAUGGUUGUAAAGCACUUUAAGCGAGGAGGAGGCUACUCUAGUUAAUACCUAGGGAUAGUGGACGUUACUCGCAGAAUAAGCACCGGCUAACUCUGUGCCAGCAGCCGCCGUAA
rnacentral:rRNA from 1 species